UCUAGCUGAGCUAAUAACUUUUAAAGUUAAUGGCAUGUCUUUAAAUUUCAAGUUUUUUUGGUUAUCAUAAAUGGUUCUGAAAAUAUUUUAUUCGUUUAAAAAUAAACCAUGUUUAGAAGAAAUGCUUCAAAAGGAUUUUUUUUUUUUUUUUACAUUUUCAAUACAUCUUUUACUCUAUCUGUUUCGCAAAAAGUAUCAAUUCCGUUUAGUAAAAAGUGUCAAUUUGACAGUUUUCACACAGAUUAAAAAUGAUUAAAAUGCAUUUAAGUUUUUAUUAAUUACAAUUAUUCAACGAUAUUGUUUCAGAUAAAUAAUUUUUU
rnacentral:lncRNA from 1 species